rnacentral:rRNA from 1 species
UUAUAAAUUUUAUAUUUUUUUUUAUAUUUUUAUUUUUUUUAGUAAAUUUUAGAAAUAAUUUAUUUUUUAAACUGUAAAGGUUAAAUUUUAAUCUUUUUGUAAAAAUUUUUUUUACCUUUGGUAUCAGGGUUUCUUUAUUUAAAUAAUUAUUUUAUUUUCCCGAAUUUAAAUUAUUUAUUCAUAAAUUAUUUUAACUGUUUUAUAAUUUUUUUUAAUUUAUGUUUUAUAAUUAAAAGUUAUUUGAAUUUUAUUAUAUCUGGUUAUUUUGGAUUAAGUUUAAUUUUGGAUUUAUUUUUAAUAUAAUUUUUAUUUUUAAUUCUUAGUUUAUUUAGGAUAAUCUAAAUAAUUAUUUAAAAUUUUUUUAUUUUGAUUUUUAUUAAGUUUUAAAAUUUCUAUUUAGUUAUUAAUAUUUUAUUUUCUUUUUUUAUAUAUAUAUUUAAUUUUUUACUUAAUUUAUUUAUUUAAUUUUUUUUUAUUUUUAAUAAUUAGUUAAUUAGUAUUUUUUAUAAUUAUUUUUUAUGAAUUAGACAAAUUUUUAGUAUUCAUCUGUUUAUUAAAAACAUUUCUUUUAGUUUAAGUUUUAAAAGUAAGUUCUGCCCAAUGAAUAUUUUAAUGGCUGCAGUAUUUUAACUGUACAAAGGUAGCAUAAUAAUUUGGUUUUUAAUUGAGAUCUAGAAUGAAUGAAUUCAUGAAAUACUUGUUUUAUUAAUUUUAAAUAUUGAAUUUUAUUUUUUAGUAAAAAAGCUAAAUAUUUUAUCAGUGACGAUAAGACCCUAUAGAAUUUUAUUUUUUUUUAUCAUGUAAUUAAUAAACAAAAAAUUUAGUUGGGGUGAUUAAUAAAUAUAUUCUUUAUUUUUUAUAUUCAUUAUAAAUGAUUUUUUGAUCCUUUUUAGACAAUAAAAUUAAAUUACCUUAGGGAUAACAGCGUAAUUAAAAUAGGAAGUUCUUAUUUUUGUUUUAGAUUUCGACCUCGAUGUUGAAUUAAGUUAAUUAAUUAGUGUAGCAGCUAAUUUAAUAAGUCUGUUCGACUUUUAAAUUCUUACAUGAUUUGAGUUUAAACCGGUGUGAGCCAGGUUGGUUUUUAUCUUGAUAUAUUUAAUCUUUUUUAGUACGAAAGGACCAUUAAGUUAAAUUUAAAUUUU